rnacentral:rRNA from 1 species
AUCAGCCUUUUCGGGUGCGAUUCUGUGGGGUUUGAGGAGCUUAACACCUUCAUGCUUUGCAUAUUCGUGCUCUUGGGUGUACUUGCCCGUGUGGUUGGUUAACAUCAAUUUCGGGCACCAUAAAAUGGCUGGAGGAAUGUAGCUUCGAUCUUGUAUUGAAGUGUUAUAGCCUUCGGUAGAUGUGGUGAUCGAGAUUGAGGAUUGCAACGGAUACCUUUCGGGGCUACCUGUCUGAUCUCUGAUCGUUGCUUUGGUGCUGAAAGCGUGCUUAUAGUUAUCAAAGUCGAUGGUCAAUAGGUUAGAAUGGGUUAAAUUCGUUAAGGAUGUUGACGUAAUGGCUUU